rnacentral:rRNA from 1 species
UACGUAGGGUGCGAGCGUUAAUCGGAAUUACUGGGCGUAAAGGGUGCGCAGGCGGUUUUGUAAGCCAGAUGUGAAAUCCCCGGGCUUAACCUGGGAAUGGCAUUUGGGACUGCAAGGCUUGAGUGCGGCAGAGGAGACUGGAAUUCCUGGUGUAGCAGUGAAAUGCGUAGAUAUCAGGAGGAAUACCGAUGGCGAAGGCAGGUCUCUGGGCUGACACUGACGCUCAGGCACGAAAGCGUGGGGAGCAAACAGG